UACGUAGGGUGCGAGCGUUAAUCGGAAUUACUGGGCGUAACGCGUGCGCAGGCGGCGCGUUAAGACAGGUGUGAAAGCCCCGAGCUUAACUUGGGAAUUGCGCUUGUGACUGGCGUGCUGGAGUGUGGCAGAGGGAGGUGGAAUUCCACGUGUAGCAGUGAAAUGCGUAGAGGUGUGGAGGAACACCGAUGGCGAAGGCAGCCUCCUGGGCCAGCACUGACGCUCAUGCACGAAAGCGUGGGGAGCAAACAGG
rnacentral:rRNA from 1 species